rnacentral:rRNA from 1 species
UACCUCAGUAACGGCGAGUGAAGCGGUAACAGCUCAAAUUUGAAAUCUGGCAGCAAUGUCCGAGUUGUAAUUUGUAGAGGAUGUUUCGAGCAUGGUCUGGCCUAAGUUCCUUGGAACAGGACGUCAUAGAGGGUGAGAAUCCCGUAUGCGGUCAGGUGCCUACGCUCAUGUGAAACUCCUUCGACGAGUCGAGUUGUUUGGGAAUGCAGCUCAAAAUGGGUGGUAAAUUUCAUCUAAAGCUAAAUAUUGGCCAGAGACCGAUAGCGCACAAGUAGAGUGAUCGAAAGAUGAAAAGCACUUUGGAAAGAGAGUUAAACAGUACGUGAAAUUGUUGAAAGGGAAGCGCUUGCAACCAGACUUGCACGCAGCUGAUCAUCCGCUGUUCUCAGUGGUGCACUCGGUUGCGUUCAGGCCAGCAUCGGUUUUGGUGGUGGGAUAAAGGCCUUAGGAAUGUAGCUGCUUUCGGGCAGUGUUAUAGCCUAGGGUGCAAUGCCGCCUACUGGGACCGAGGACCGCGCUUCGGCUAGGAUGCUGGCGUAAUGGUUGUAAGCGACCCGUCUUGAAACACGGACCAAGGAGUCUAACAUCUAUGCGAGUGUUUGGGUGUCAAACCCAUACGCGUAAUGAAAGUGAACGGAGGUCAGAACCCUUAAGGGUGCAUGAUCGACCGGUCCUGAAGUCUUCGGAUGGAUCUGAGUAAGAGCAUAGCUGUUGGGACCCGAAAGAUGGUGAACUAUGCCUGAAUAGGGUGAAGCCAGAGGAAACUCUGGUGGAGGCUCGCA